AGACUUAAUUAGAGAAUUGACUAAAUCUAAUCAAUUGUUGUCUUAGAUUAGGUCAAAGAUUCUCUAGAUCAAUUACAAUAAUUGUAGUUGGUCAAGUCCAUGUCUUUAACGAGAACCAAAUGGACUUGAUUCUUGGCUAAGCGGUCUAGCACGAACUGUUAGGUUGAUCUAAUCGAAACUAAUUAAACCAGUUGGUGUCUAAGAUAAACCAGACUGAUAGUUUUUAAUUG
rnacentral:lncRNA from 1 species